AACGAACGCUGGCGGCAGGCCUAACACAUGCAAGUCGAGCGAGACCUUCGGGUCUAGCGGCGGACGGGUGAGUAACGCGUGGGAACGUGCCCUUUUCUACGGAAUAGCCUCGGGAAACUGAGCGUAAUACCGUAUACGCCCUUUGGGGGAAAGAUUUAUCGGAGAAGGAUCGGCCCGCGUUGGAUUAGGUAGUUGGUGGGGUAAUGGCCUACCAAGCCUACGAUCCAUAGCUGGUUUGAGAGGAUGAUCAGCCACACUGGGACUGAGACACGGCCCAGACUCCUACGGGAGGCAGCAGUGGGGAAUCUUAGACAAUGGGGGCAACCCUGAUCUAGCCAUGCCGCGUGAGUGAUGAAGGCCUUAGGGUUGUAAAGCUUUUUCAGCUGGGAAGAUAAUGACGGUACCAGCAGAAGAAGCCCCGGCUAACUCCGUG
rnacentral:rRNA from 1 species